UACGUAGGGUGCGAGCGCUUGUCCGGAAUUACUGGGCGUAAAGCGCGUGUAGGCGGUUCGGUAAGUCCGCUGUGAAAGUCGGGGGCUCAACCCUCGAAAGCCGGUGGAUACUGCCGGACUAGAGUCCGGAAGAGGCGAGUGGAAUUCCCGGUGUAGCGGUGAAAUGCGCAGAUAUCGGGAGGAACACCAAUGGCGAAGGCAGCUCGCUGGGACGGUACUGACGCUGAGACGCGAAAGCGUGGGGGAGCAAACAGG
rnacentral:rRNA from 1 species